CGCGUAGGCGGUCUCUUAAGUCUGGGGUGAAAGGUUCAGCGCUCAACGCGAACAGUGCCUUGGAGACUGGGGGACUUGAGUGUGGGAGGGGGCAGUGGAAUUCCGGGUGUAGCGGUGAAAUGCGUAGAGAUCCGGAGGAACACCGAUGGCGAAGGCAGCUGCCUGGCCUAACACUGACGCUGAGGUGCGAAAGCGUGGGGAGCGAACG
rnacentral:rRNA from 1 species